GACGAACGCUGGCGGCGUGCUUAACACAUGCAAGUCGAACGGAAAGGCCCUGCUUUUGUGGGGUGCUCGAGUGGCGAACGGGUGAGUAACACGUGAGUAACCUGCCCUUGACUUUGGGAUAACUUCAGGAAACUGGGGCUAAUACCGGAUAGGAGCUCCUGCUGCAUGGUGGGGGUUGGAACGUUUCGGCGGAUGGGGAUGGACUCGCGGCUUAUCAGCUUGUUGGUGGGGGAGUUGCUUACCAAGGCUUUGACGGAUAGCCGGCCUGAGAGGGUGAACGGGCACAUUGGGCCUGAGAUACGGCCCAGACGCGAACGGGAGGCAGCAGUGGGGAAUAUUGCACAAUGGGCGGAAGCCUGAUGAAGCAACGCCGCGUGCGGGAUGACGGCCUUCGGGUUGUAAACCGCUUUCGCCUGUGACGAAGCGUGAGUGACGGUAAUGGGUAAAGAAGCACCGGCUAACUACGUG
rnacentral:rRNA from 1 species